rnacentral:rRNA from 1 species
AGAAUCAACGCUGGCGGCGUGCCUAACACAUGCAAGUCGAACGAGAAAAGGACUUCGGUCCUGAGUAAAGUGGCGCACGGGUGAGUAACACGUGACUAACCUACCCUUGAGUGGGGAAUAACUUCGGGAAACCGAGGCUAAUACCGCAUAACACCUACGGGUCAAAGGAGCAAUUCGCUUAAGGAGGGGGUCGCGGCAGAUUAGCUAGUUGGCGGGGUAAUGGCCCACCAAGGCAGUGAUCUGUA